rnacentral:lncRNA from 1 species
GUGAAGUUGGGCUAUAACUUGGUGAAGUUGGACUAUAACCAGGAGAAGUGGGGCUAUAGGCUGGUGAAGUGGGGCUGUACGAUGGAGAAGUGGGGCUGUAUGACGGUGAGGUAGGGCUGUACGAAGGUGAUGUUGGGCUGUAGGAAGGAGAGGUUGGGCUGUACGAUGGUGAAGUGGGGCUGUAUGCAGGUGAGGUGGGGCUGUAUGCAGGUGAGGUGGGGCUAUAUGCCGGUGAGGUGGGGCUAUAGCUUGGUGAAGUUGGACUGUAACUGGGAGAAGUGGGGCUGUAACUUGGAGAGGUCGGGCUGUAGCUUGGGGAUGUUGGGCUGUAACUUGGGGAGGUUGGGCUAUAGCUUGGUGAAGUAGGUGAGUACGAUGGACUGGUAGGAGAAUAGGCAGGACUGGUUGGACUAUAACCAGGAGAACUUGGACUAUAAGUUGGUGAGGUAGGGCUAUAUCCAGGCGAGGUGGGACUGUAUCCAGGUGAAGUUGGGCUGUAUCCAGGUGACGUGGGACUGUAUCCAGGAGAUGACGGACUGUAGCCUGGUGAUGAUGGGCUGUAUCCAGGUGAUGAAGUAGGAGAGAAGGCCAUUCCACCAACAUAAGGAGAAAACUGGGCAUCCGUGACCGGGGACAGACGGAGAUUUGGGCUAAACAAGUAACCUGGAGACAUC